CCAGACUCCUACGGGAGGCAGCAGUGGGGGAUAUUGGACAAUGGGGGGAACCCUGAUCCAGCGACGCCGCGUGAGUGAAGAAGUAUCUCGGUAUGUAAAGCUCUAUCAGCAGGGAAGAAAGAAAUGACGGUACCUGAGUAAGAAGCCCCGGCUAACUACGUGCCAGCAGCCGCGGUAAUACGUAGGGGGCAAGCGUUAUCCGGAAUUACUGGGUGUAAAGGGAGCGUAGACGGUGAAGUAAGUCUGGGGUGAAAGGCGGGGGCCCAACCCCCGGACUGCUCUGGAAACUAUUUGACUGGAGUGAAGGAGAGGUAAGCGGAAUUCCUAGUGUAGCGGUGAAAUGCGUAGAUAUUAGGAGGAACACCAGUGGCGAAGGCGGCUUACUGGACUGUACCUGACGCUGAGGCGCGAAAGCGUGGGUAGCGAACGGGAUUAGAUACCCCAGUAGCA
rnacentral:rRNA from 1 species